AUUGAGCUUGGAGAUGGUGAUAUUGGUAUUGUUGAUGUUGAAAAAGAGAGAUAUACUUGAGGAGUUACAUCCUGGUAGAAACUUGAAAGAGUUAUCAAUUGAUGGUUAUAGGGAUGAAAUAUUCCCCGAUUGGUUAGACCUUUCUUGCUACUUCAAUAUAACCAAAUUGAGUUUGAGGAGUUUUAAGAAUCGUCGUCAGCUUCCUUCAUUGGGACAGUUACCCGCUCUGCAGCGUCUGGUGGUAUUUAGAUUUGAUAGGCGGGAAAGAAUUGGUGGUGAGUUUUACAACAACACUGAAUCAUGUCAUGAAGGGACACCCUUCAGAUCUCUUCGAAGUCUGACAUUUGGUGAAAUGCCUCGCUGGCGAGAGUGGCAUAUUCCUCAUGACGUUGAUGGGUUUCCAAAACUUGAAUGGCUUUCAAUAAAAGACUGUCCGGUGUUAAGUGGAGAAACUGAGUCUGAAUGCUUUUAUCCCACUGUCUCAUUAGGAAGGCUGAAGCGUGAAUCGUAAUACAUGGAUGAGGCAAGGUGAGAACUGGGAUGCACUGAAAGUUUAAUGUUGCAAGACAUUCAUAGAUAUGGUAUCGCAAGAAUUCAACGAAACCAGUGCAAGGGAUAGUGUGGUUUAAUUUCAAACCUCUUGUGAGUGCUUGGCACGCAUACACUUCAUCCAUUUUAGACGGAUGAUGAAAUCCACCAUGGGAGCAAUUAUGCACUUCAAAGCUAAAACUCAUAUGGGGAACUCAAGACGAUCUUUAUCAUCCCAAGUAGGAAAUGAAGGAGCACAGUUCUUUGUAUAAGCAAGGAGAAUAAUGUGGAAGAAUUUUAAGGUUGAGUGCAAAAUUGCAAAUGCAGCAUGUUCUUGAUGUGGUUCAGGCUUCAUGAGAAUUUUUUAUUUCUUGAAUCAUUGUUUGAGCAUUUUAGUCAAUUAAAUAGAUUUUGAUACAAGUGCAGUAACAAGGUAGUUAAAUAUCAACUUGUUUCCUGGAAGUAAACAUUUCAUCAUUUGUGAAUAUAUGCCAUAGUUUAUAAAUAGUUUUACUAUACAUCUCUUUCUCAAGUAUGCUUGCAUCAGCAAAUUAAAUUAUUAUAACGAAACUUUUGAGAAACAAGUGCUAGUAUAAGUGUUUAACACUGUAACUAUAAGAUCAAGUCAGCACUAACCAAUAGUUGUAUAAUACUUUCUUUAUGUUACUUGCCGUAAAGGAUAGGCGAAUACGAUUUAUAUAUAUAUAUAUAAAAUGUUGCAAAAAUAAUUUAUAUAACCAUAAUUCUAUGCUAUUUCAUUUUAGUGUGCCAUUUUUUGCUCUACAUUAGCUAUAAUAGUUAAAUUACAUUCAAUUCAAUCUAAAGAUACCUUAGAGUACCUUUCUUCUUUUCUUUCUUUCCUUUUUCUUUUUUCCUGCUUCAUUGGAUUUCCUAUUUGAUCCUGGAAAAGUGAAGGAGGCAAAAGGUUUUGGUAUACCAAUGGAUCUCUCUACAACCAUCGACUAUUUUAAUUAAAUAAUUUGCUUCUGCUGUUAAGGAAGCAGAUAAUCAAAGAGUUUAAUAUUGCAAGAAUUCAUAGAUAUGGUAAUGCAAGCAUUCAAUGAAACCUAGUGCAAAGAUGCAGUGGUUUCAAGCACCUUGUGAGUGCUUGGAACAGCACACACUUCAUCCAUUUGUGCUGAACAACACUUUACAAAAAUCAGAAUAUGACAAGGGGGAAAUUUUUCUCCAGGAAGGAUGGAAAUAGCCAAGCUCUGAAAAAGAAUCCACAACCUUGUAUCUUUCAAGAAAAUCGAGGUUGUGUCCACCAUAUUUUCGUUUGUAACCGACAUCCUGUAUAUUCUGCAAUGAUUUGCACUAAUGUUGUUCGAAUCAAUCUGGAAUCGCACAUCAUCCACCAAUUGGCGUUAGUAAAAUAUUAAUUCCCUGGUCAGAAUCAACCAUUCAAUCAAAUCAAAUCAAAAUAAGGAGGAGUAAUCGAUAUACAGAAAAAGAACAAUA